rnacentral:rRNA from 1 species
AGGUCACUGCUAUCGGGGUUCGACUAAGCCAUGCAAGUCGAGAGGGGUCAAGCCCUCGGCGUACUGCUCAGUAACACGUGGAUAACCUGCCCUGAGGAAGGGGAUAAUCCCGGGAAACUGGGGAUAAUACCCUAUAGGCUACCGAUGCUGGAAUGCGCGGUAACCCAAAGCUCCGGCGCCUCAGGAUGGGUCUGCGGCCGACUAGGUUGUUGUUGGGGUAACGGCCCAACAAGCCGGUAAUCGGUACGGGUUGUGGGAGCAAGAGCCCGGAGAUGGAUUCUGAGACAUGAAUCCAGGCCCUACGGGGCGCAGCAGGCGCGAAAACUUUACAAUGCGGGAAACCGUGAUAAGGGAACCCCGAGUGCCUGUAACCACAGGCUGUUCAGGUGUUUAAAACGCAUCUGGAGAAAGGGCCGGGCAAGACCGGUGCCAGCCGCCGCGGUAAUACCGGCGGCUCGAGUGGUGGCCACUAUUACUGGGCUUAAAGCGUCCGUAGCCGGGUUGUUAAGUCUCUUGGGAAAUCCAGCGGCUCAACCGUUGGGCGUUCAAGGGAUACUGGCAAUCUAGGGACCGGGGGAGGUGAGAGGUACUCUAGGGGUAGGAGUGAAAUCCUGUAAUCCUUGGGGGACCACCUGUGGCGAAGGCGUCUCACCAGAACGGCUCCGACGGUGAGGGACGAAAGCUGGGGGAGCAAACCGGAUUA